GUAACCUGCCCUGUGGUUGGGGAUAACUUUGGGAAACUGAGGAUAAGACCCUAUAAGAAAAGGAUACUGGAAUGUUCCUUUUCUCAAAGGCAACGCCAUAGGAUGAGCCGGCGGCCGAUUAGGUUGUUGGUGAGGUAACGGCUCACCAAGCCUUAGAUCGGUAGGGGCAUUGAAAGAUGUCGCCUCGCGAAGGGCACGGAGGUACUGGCCCUAGCCCUACGGGGUGCAGCAGGCGCGAAAUCUUUACAAUACACGAAAGUGUGAUAAGGGAACUCUGAGUGCUCAUGCAUUGCAUGGGCUUUUGCCAAGGGUAAAUAUCUUGGAGAAUAAGUGGUGGGCAAGACCGGUGCCAGCCGCCGCGGUAACACCGGCGCCACAAGUGGUGGCCUAGUUUAUUUGGCCUAAAGCGUCCGUAGCUGGUUAGUUAAAUCUCUUGUGAAAUUGUUGAGCUCAACUCAACAGCGUGCAGGAGAAACUGGCUAACUUGAGACUGGGAAGAGUUAGAAGUAUUCUAUGGGGAGCGGUAAAAUGCUAUAAUCCACAGAAGACUACCGAUGGCGAAGGCAUCUAACUAGAACAGAUCUGACAGUGAGGGACGAAAGCCAGGGGAGCAAAACGGAUUAGAUACCCGAGUAGUCCUGGCCGUAAACACUGCGAGCUAGGUGUUGCACAUUCCUAGAGAAUGUGCAGUGUCGAAGCGAAGGCGCUAAGCUCGCCGCCUGGGAAGUACGGUCGCAAGACUGAAACUUAA
rnacentral:rRNA from 1 species